CUCUUGGUGGCGCAGUUGGCAGCGCGAACGACUGUAAUGGGACACAACCUGUCAGAUAUCGUUCGGUCCCCGGUUCGAGUCCGGGCCAGGAGA